AGUCCAACCAUUAUUGCACUGAUGCUUUCAAACAUCAUUCUUGGCAUUGUGACACUCGUUCUCAUAUGGACAAUUUGCAAGAUUCAGAGGAAAGACUCCACAGAGGCAAUCAGUGAAUCUUCUGAAGGCAAUCAGACUGGUGCAGUUACCUAUGAAGCUGUGUGUUUGGCCCCCAGAAGCCUCCCCUCCAAACGAGUAACAGUGAAAUACAG